CCCAGAAAGGCUUUAAGAGCUCUCUGGGGUGGAAUUUGUGCAACUCCACACCAAAAAAAUGUGAUGAUACAGAACACUUAUUUUGCAUUUCCAUGGUGGCACAUCCAGUGUGAUGACACAUAUUUUUAAGGGAAGAGGCCUAGAUGAGGAUUAAAGAUCUUGGGAUGUCCAAAGCUGUUAUAAAUGCAUAAGGGGGAAGUGGGAAAAAGGAUGAACUCCCAGGUGAGCCCAGACACAGCCAUAUGUGGAGGAGUGUCAUUACCAUCCUGUUGGGAGACAGGCAGCAAUGCCUGAUGCAGCCCCUUUUUUUGCUUCACUGAAGAAGCUCUGUGAAAAAAAUUUGGGGAGCCAUGUCCAUUGAU
rnacentral:lncRNA from 1 species